rnacentral:tRNA from 1 species
AAGACUUUAAGUUAAGAAAACUAUAUACCUUCAAAGUAUAAAAUAAUUAAAUUUAAGUCUUA